rnacentral:rRNA from 1 species
GACGUAGGGUGCGAGCGUUGUCCGGAUUUAUUGGGCGUAAAGAGCUCGUAGGCGGCUCGUCGCGUCGACCGUGAAAACCCGCAGCUUAACUGUGGGCUUGCGGUUGAUACGGGCGGGCUAGAGUUCGGGUAGGGGGAGACUGGAAUUCCUGGUGUAGCGGUGAAAUGCGUAGAUAUCGAGAGGAACACCAGAGGUGAAGACGGGUUGCUGGGCCGACACUGACGCUGACAGCGCGAAAGCCAGGGGAGCAAACGGG